AGAGUUUGAUCCUGGCUCAGGAUGAACGCUAGCUACAGGCUUAACACAUGCAAGUCGAGGGGAAACGACAUCGAAAGCUUGCUUUUGAUGGGCGUCGACCGGCGCACGGGUGAGUAACGCGUAUCCAACCUGCCCACCACUUGGGGAUAACCUUGCGGAAGUAAGACUAAUACCCAAUGACGUCUCUAGAAGACAUCUGAGGGAGAUUAAAGAUUUAUCGGUGAUGGAUGGGGAUGCGUCUGAUUAGCUUGUUGGCGGGGUAACGGCCCACAAGGCGACGAUCAGUAGGGGUUCUGAGAGGAAGGUCCCCCACAUUGGAGCUGAGACACGGUCCAAACUCCUACGGGAGGCA
rnacentral:rRNA from 1 species